UGGGGAAUAUUGGGCAAUGGGCGCAAGCCUGACCCAGCAACGCCGCGUGAAGGAAGAAGGCUUUCGGGUUGUAAACUCCUGUCUUUGGGGACGAUAAUGACGGUACCCAAGGAGGAAGCCACGGCUAACUACGUGCCAGCAGCCGCGGUAAAACGUAGGUGGCAAGCGUUGUCCGGAAUUACUGGGUGUAAAGGGAGCGCAGGCGGAGCGGCAAGUUUGGAGGUGAAACCCCAUGGGGCUCAACCCCAUGAACUGCCUUCAAAAAUCUGUCGGGUCUUGAGUGGUGUAGAGGUAAGCGGAAUUCCCGGUGUAGCGGUGGAAUGCGUAGAUAUCGGGGAGGAACACCAGUGGCGAAGGCGGCUUACUGGGCACUAACUGACGCUGAGGCUCGAAAGCAUGGGUAGCAAACAGGAUUAGAUACCC
rnacentral:rRNA from 1 species